GGGGAAAAUUAAUAAAUUAAAUUUAAUAAAAAAAAUUUUAAUAUUAAAAAGAAAAAUGGGGGUUUAAGUAUUUUUAAUAGAAAAAAUUAAUAGUUUUAUAGUUAAAUAUUACUGUAAAGGAAUUUAUAAAUAAAUGAAAUAUAAUUAAUAAAAAAGUAAAUUUAAAUUAUUGUAUCUUGUGUAUCAGAGUUUAUUAAAUAAUAAUAAUUUAUUUAAAUAAAUCUCGAAUUUAAAAGAGUUAAUUAGUUAAAAAAGUUAAUGUUGUAUAAUUAUUUUAAAUAACUAAUUAGAAAUGAAAUGUUAAUCGUUUUUAAAUAUAUCUAGUUUUUUCAGAAAAAAAUUUAAUUUUAAAUUUGAAUAAUUUUAUAAUUAUUUAAUUAAUUAUAAAAAUUUAAAUUUUAAUAUUUUAGGGGAUAAGCUUUAAAUUAAAAAUUUAUAAUUAGUAAAUAAUUAAAAUUAAAAUUUUUAAAAUUUAUAUUGUUUAAAAAUUAUAGUUUAUUAUAAAAAAUUUUAUUAAAAAUAAAAUUUAAAAUAAAAAAAAUUUAAAUUUUUAUGAAAAAAUAAUUUAUAAUUUAAUAAAAUUAGAAAUAAUGAUAAAAUUAGUAUAAUAUAAUAAAUUAAAAAAAAAUUAUAGAUAAUUAAUUUAAAGGAAUUCGGCAAAAUUUUAUAUUCACUUGUUUAUCAAAAACAUGUCUUUUUGAUAAUAAUUUAAAGUCUAAUCUGCCCACUGAUAAUAUAUUAAAGGGCUGCAGUAUAUUGACUGUACAAAGGUAGCAUAAUCAUUAGUCUUUUAAUUGAAGACUUGUAUGAAAGAUUUGAUGAAAUAUAAACUGUCUCUAAUUUAUGUUUAGAAAUUAAUUUUUUAGUUAAAAAGCUAAAAUAAUAUUAAAAGACGAGAAGACCCUAUAGAGUUUUAUAUUUUAUUUAAUUAAUAUUAAAUAUAUAAUUAAAUAUAUUAAUUAAAUAAAUUAUUGUAUUGGGGUGAUAGAAAAAUUUAAUAAACUUUUUUUAAUUUAAAACAUAAAUAAGUGAUUAAUUGAUCCAUUAAUAAUGAUUAAAAGAAAAAAUUACCUUAGGGAUAACAGCGUAAUAUUUUUUUUUAGUACUUAUAAAAAAAAAAGUUUGCGACCUCGAUGUUGGAUUAAGAUAAAAUUUAAAUGCAAAAGUUUAAAAUUUUGAUCUGUUCGAUCAUUAAAAUCUUACAUGAUCUGAGUUCAAACCGGUGUAAGCCAGGUUGGUUUCUAUCUUUAAUAAAAAAAAAUAUUUUAGUACGAAAGGAUCAAAUAUUUAAAAUAAUUUUAUAUAAAUGAAUAUUAAUAAUAAUAGUUUAU
rnacentral:rRNA from 1 species